rfam:Dipodomys ordii contig_93659, whole genome shotgun sequence.
AAGUCUCUGUGCUUCUGAAAUGUGAUGAUUGGGUUUUUAUCCUGUUGUGUGAGGUGUGCCUCCUUCCAACUUUGUUGUGACCAUAGCACAUUUCCUACUUAACA